UUUAUUGUUCCCGUGGGGCAGUCGAGGAUGUCGGUGAAUUACGCGGCGGGGCUGUCGCCGUACGCGGACAAGGGCAAGUGCGGCCUCCCGGAGAUCUUCGACCCCCCGGAGGAGCUGGAGCGGAAGGUGUGGGAACUGGCGAGGCUGGUCUGGCAGUCUUCCAAUGUGGUGUUCCACACGGGUGCCGGCAUCAGCACUGCCUCUGGCAUUCCCGACUUCAGGGACAAACUGGCAGAGCUUCACGGGAACAUGUUUGUGGAAGAAUGUGCCAAGUGUAAGACGCAGUACGUCCGGGACACAGUCGUGGGCACCAUGGGCCUGAAGGCCACGGGCCGGCUCUGCACCGUGGCUAAGGCAAGGGGGCUGCGAGCCUGCAGGUGAGCCACCCCCACCCAGGCCCUGGGCUCCAGGGGAGGCUGCGAGGCUCCUGCGGACUCUCCUCAGCUUCCUCAUUGCAGGGGAGAGCUGAGGGACACCAUCCUCGACUGGGAGGACUCCCUGCCCGACCGGGACCUGGCACUCGCCGAUGAGGCCAGCAGGUCUGACCCCCCACCCCCAGGGAGCCCAUGGUAGGGCGGGGCGGGACGACAGCAGAAACACAGCCAGCUCCAGCACGGGACAGUGGCUGAGGCUCACAGGCAGUGAGGGGAGGCUUCCUGGAGCAGGUGGGCCAGGCCGGGGGCUGCACACGCGCACUCACACACACUCGUCACCUCGUGGCUCUGGGGGGUGCCGCACAAGGAAACCAAGGCUUCCGCCGGGUGUCUCCUCUAUCCAGUGCUGCCCAGCCGGGAGGUGACCGAGCCAGGGUCCCACCCUAGGCGUCCAAGCUCUUACCGCACUGUGAUACUCCCCGGAAGUGUCUAAGGGCCCGCCCAGAUCAGUGACCCUGCCAACGGACCGCAGAGGAGGGCGGGGUGGGAUCCCAAAGGCUGACUCGGAAGUGGGGCUGGCCUUGACCGCCCCGGUGAGCACAGAUGGCCUAGGUGUGAACCGGCCCCCAGGGCUGGCUCAGGAUGUUGGCAGGAGCAGGGCAUCAGGCUCAGCCCACGCUCCCCGGCCCCAGGAACGCCGACCUGUCCAUCACGCUGGGUACAUCGCUGCAGAUCCGGCCCAGCGGGAACCUGCCGCUGGCUACCAAGCGCCGGGGAGGCCGCCUGGUCAUCGUCAACCUGCAGCCCACCAAGCACGACCGCCAUGCUGACCUCCGCAUCCAUGGCUACGUUGACGAGGUCAUGACCCGGCUCAUGAAGCACCUG
rnacentral:sRNA from 1 species